rnacentral:rRNA from 1 species
GUGAACGCUGGCGGUAGGCCUAACACAUGCACGUCGAACGGCAGCACAGUAAGAGCUUGCUCUUACGGGUGGCGAGUGGCGGACGGGUGAGGAAUACAUCGGAAUCUACUUUUUCGUGGGGGAUAAUGUAGGGAAACUUACGCUAAUACCGCAUACGACCUACGGGUGAAAGCAGGGGAUCUUCGGACCUUGCGCGAUUGAAUGAGCCGAUGUCGGAUUAGCUAGUUGGCGGGGUAAAGGCCCACCAAGGCGACGAUCCGUAGCUGGUCUGAGAGGAUGAUCAGCCACACUGGAACUGAGACACGGUCCAGACUCCUACGGGAGGCGGCAGUGGGGAAUAUUGGACAAUGGGCGCAAGCCUGAUCCAGCCAUACCGCGUGGGUGAAGAAGGCCUUCGGGUUGUAAAGCCCUUUUGUUGGGAAAGAAAGGCAGCAGGUUAAUACCCCGCUGUUCUGACGGUACCCAAAGAAUAAGCACCGGCUAACUUCGUG